AGUGAACGCUGGCGGUAGGCCUAACACAUGCGAGUCGAACGGCAGCACAGUAAGAGCUUGCUCUUACGGGUGGCGAGUGGCGGACGGGUGAGGAAUACAUCGGAAUCUACUUUUUCGUGGGGGAUAACGUAGGGAAACUUACGCUAAUACCGCAUACGACCUACGGGUGAAAGCAGGGGAUCUUCGGACCUUGCGCGAUUGAAUGAGCCGAUGUCGGAUUAGCUAGUUGGCGGGGUAAAGGCCCACCAAGGCGACGAUCCGUAGCUGGUCUGAGAGGAUGAUCAGCGACACUGGAACUGAGACACGGUCCAGGCUCCUACGGGAGGCAGCAGUGGGGAAUAUUGGACAAUGGGCGCAAGCCUGAUCCAGCCAUACCGCGUGGGUGAAGAAGGCCUUCGGGUUGUAAAGCCCUUUUGUUGGGAAAGAAAAGCAGCAGGUUAAUACCCCGCUGUUCUGACGGUACCCAAAGAAUAAGCACCGGCUAACUUCGUG
rnacentral:rRNA from 1 species